UGGCUAAGAUGGUAAAGAAUCUGCCUGCAAUGCAGAAGACCCAGGUUCAUUUCCUGG
rfam:Ovis aries breed Texel chromosome 8, whole genome shotgun sequence.